GCGAUUUCAACGAGAGGGGUAAUAAUUUGGCAGGGGGUCGAAAAUGGGCACAACACCGGCUCCGUGAAAGACUCGUGAAGAUGAAAAACCAGAGUAUGAACGGCGGGAGACUCGGCGUGAAGUUGAGAGUCAUAGGGGUGCAAAGAAUAGCAGCUGAUGUGGAGAAAUGUUUGAUGCUUCAAGACUCUCUGAAGCUGAUUAUAUUAGGUGCACCCAGUGGCUUUUGACUAGGCCUAUUCGAGGGUCACAUGGUUGUGAAUUCAUACCUCAACUUUGUGUCUGGAUUUACAGUCUUAUUACAACUUCAGUCUGGCGUCCCGGGAGCAGGCGUCUUUUGCACACUUGAAUUAUUUCAAAGAUGUUUUGUUGGAAUCACAACACUCACUGGAUACGAGGUGAAUACAUAGAGGCAAAACAAGAGGAAAGGUCUCAGAGAAGAGGGACAACCCUCAUGUGUGCUCAUCUCAGAAAGUUGAUGGACUUUCAGUAUGUAUGUAUGUAUAAACUAAACUGAGCUAGACAAUGACAUCUCUGAAUUCAAUAAUGAAAUGCCUUUAACUGAAAAUUUAGUGUUUAAUCUUGUACAUUACUGACACUCUAUCCUCCAAUUUGAUACUGUUAAGUGCUUUGACACAAUCUGUAUUGUUAAAAGCUCUAUAUAAAUAAAGGUGACUUGACUUGACUAUUUAUUAAAUUGUCUUUUAGAGGAAUAUUCUAAAUUUAAUAGAACAUUUAAUAGAAGCUCAAACAACAGGAUUUGUGGUAUAAUGUUGAUUCCAGCAUUUUAUUUUGAUCAUUUUUUAACCAAAAUUAUACAAAUUCUGUUGAUUGACCUUCAUUUUUUUUAUAGAAAGUUAAUGUUCUACUCAGAAUAUGGCUUAUUUUGUUGUGAUAUAACAGGUAUUUGUAGUUAUUUUG